rnacentral:misc_RNA from 1 species
GACUGGAACACUGACUUGUAACUCGAUGGAGUUCAUCAAAUGUACUAUAGCCGGGACUUCGUAUGGCCGUGGCGCUACAGAGGUUGACAGGGCAAUAUCUAGAAGGACAGGACCUCUGUUGGUUAAUAAUUUCGGUAAGGAUGAGGCCAAUGCAGUUACUGCGAUAAAAGGGUUCAAUUUUAAAGAUCGCCGUGUUAUGAAUGGCAAUUGGGUUAAUGAGCCUCAUUCUGAAGUCAUUCAAAG